rnacentral:rRNA from 1 species
GACGAACGCUGGCGGCGUGCUUAACACAUGCAAGUCGAACGGAAAGGCCCUGCUUUUGUGGGGUGCUCGAGUGGCGAACGGGUGAGUAACACGUGAGUAACCUGCCCUUGACUUUGGGAUAACUUCAGGAAACUGGGGCUAAUACCGGAUAGGAGCUCCUGCUGCAUGGUGGGGGUUGGAAAGUUUCGGCGGUUGGGGAUGGACUCGCGGCUUAUCAGCUUGUUGGUGGGGUAGUGGCUUACCAAGGCUUUGACGGGUAGCCGGCCUGAGAGGGUGACCGGCCACAUUGGGACUGAGAUACGGCCCAGACUCCUACUGGAGGCAACAGUGGGGAAUGUUACACAAUGGGCGGAAGCCUUGUGCAGCAACGCCGCGUGCGGGAUGACGGCCUUCGGGUUGUAAACCGCUUUCGCCUGUGACGAAGCGUUAGUGACGGUAAUGGGUAAAGAAGCACCGGCUAACUACGUG